rnacentral:lncRNA from 1 species
CGAGCCAGCGGCUCGUGCCAGAAGGCCACGUGGGGAGGGGUGCGGGGGAUGACAAUGCCUCAAAUCUGCCGCUUUUGUUGGGGUGUUACCAGGCAGACUGGAGCCUGCAGAUUUCAUCUCGCCUGGCUUUUUUUUUUUUUUGAAGUCCUUAAAAGGAAAAAGUAAAAAAAAAAAAAAAAGAAAAAACCCAACCCACAAAAACCUUGUUUGCUUAUAUGAUGCUGCAAUUUGCGAAAAGCACCUUUAUAGAAGCAAAGGGAUUUUUUUUUGCAUUUUGUAUUGCUACCUUUCUAUUUGUUUCUUUUCUUUAAUUUGAAGUCUAUGAGACUGUUGCAUUGGAGCCAGAAAUUAAGGUAAAAACAGGUAGCGCCAGUUAGAGGCUUGCAAAAGGCAGUGGGCACAGCCCCCUGCAGCUGACCACUAGCGUCCCGAGCGCGCUGGUGAUGCCUGCCAGGCAUACUCAAUGUGUACAUUGAGCCGUCUCUGGAAGAUCCCACCCCACCUCCCCGCCCUUGGCCGAGCGCGGCGGGGCGCGGGAGACGGGGGCGGGCGGGGACGAGCAGAUUGCGGCCGGCGCACGCCGCUCGUUUGCAUUUCUAUGGAGGGCGCACAAUAGCAGAGGUCUGGCGUGUGGCGGUUUGCUGUAGGGACAAUCGAGGCUUUCUCUUCAUAGCAACACUGUCCACCUGCCGCCGGGUGGGGUGGGCAGGACCCCGCCGCGCGUGGGGGUCGCCGGGCUGCCUGGCGCGUGGGGUCGAGGCUGAGUGCCACUCCGUGGUCCCUGAGUGCACGCCCCCAGUACUGGCCCUGCUACAAGUAAUUCCCUUCCAUCCGUUCCUCGCACGGGUGCCGAACAGCCGCGCGAGUUGGGAAGGACGGAGAGCUGCUGUGCAGUCUUCGCGGCUGGACGCCCUGUGGCCGGGACCCCGCGGCUGCAGCCCCUGGAGCUUAGGGUGAAGCAUGAAUCUGCACAUGGGGAGGCUUCAGAGGACAACUGAGACAAGAAGCAGGAAGCUGAGAAAGGAGGACACCUCCCACACACACAUCUAGCAAAAGCUGGACAUUUCUGGUCAGUCAUCCUUAUGCAAAGACUUUCUGGAAGGAGCAGUUAUUCUUGGGUGAGCACUUAUGUAGCAUGAAAGAGGUUAACAUUAGCCCAGGGAAAUCCUUCAAAGUAAUUGAGGGGGAAGGAUACAUUAUUUAUGCAUUUGUUCCCUUCUCUAUCGACAGUAAGAAAUGAUUCAUGGCACCUGUCACAGUCCUAGGUAGUGACAGACACCAGCCUGCACUGUAGCUGAAAACCCCUGAGAAGCCACAGAUGUGCAGUCUUCCCAGCUUGACUACAUGCCCAAGUCUUCUGAACCUUAGUUUCCCAACCUAGGAAAUAAAAAUUGUGCCCUUUACCCCUCAUGAACCUUAUUGGGGUCUUAUAAGAUUGCUCCUGGUUGCCAUUUGGCCCACAGAUGGGUUUAGUUUGGUGGACAGUGUCCCGAAAGACUUACAAAUUCAGAUCUGACUUGUUCAUUUGUGUAGGGGAGAGUUGGUGGCACACAUCCUCUCUGUCACUGUAAGUAUGUUCCAAAUGUCACAUUAGGUCCACUGGCACGUGUAAGCCCUGUCUGGCAUUUGCCUGGUCCCUGCAGGCAUUUGGGUUGGCAGUAAACUUUCUUUUCUAACAGAUUUCUGGAAAUGUUUACAUGUAGCAUAUAAUAGAAUAAUAGAACCACAGAACUUCCACAGUAAAGCCUUCCUUCUUUUAUGUUCCAAAAGCUAAAAUGUACUAACAACCUCCAAAAGGCACUAUGACAUUGGAGUUUAAACUUUGUGGAGCAGGACUCAAAGCUGGACUUAGCUGCUUGCUAACUUUGACCUUGAGUGAAGAGUUAGCAGAUGAUUUAAAGUGUAAAGUAGAAAGAAUUCAUGCUGGUUAGCCCAUUAAAUACCCGUUAAUUAAGCUCUCCAAAAACGCCAUUCAAAAAUGUAUAUGAUAAUCAAAUAUUUAUUGCAAUGUUUCUUAAAAUAGUGAAAAAUUAGAAAACAUUAUAGGGGGCUAGUGUUAAAUCAUGGUGUAACCAGAAAUGAAACAUUAUGCAACCAUAAAAAGGAGUUCUGAAGAGUAGUUCCCGGCAUGAUAUAAUGUGAAAAAAAGCAAAAUACGAAAUUGUGCAAUUCUAAUUUUGCAAAAACUUUCAGCGUACACGACUAUCACUGUAUAAAGUCACAAAGUAGGAAUGGUGAUUGUAUCUUGGAGUGAUGAGAUUAUAAGUGAUUUUUAAUUUUCUUCACUAUGCUUUACUGCAAUUAAACAUUUACAAUUCAAUUUUAUUUAACAAAAAUAUAUAAAACUUCUCAAAUGGAGUAACUUCAGUACCAGACAUCCUCAACCUGACUGCUCUGGAGGUUAUUGUGCAGAGCAAUCUUUGACCAUAUGGUCACAGAUCCAGAAGCCAGACGUCUGUGGGGCUUUGCUCCUGAGACUGUGACCUUUGAUUCCUGCACUCCUCCUCUUGCCAUCUGACGCCGGUCUGCGCCUGUGACUGAGUGAAAAUCGUCAUAACUGUACUCGGAGGUUAACUCUGGCAUGACUGGGAUGGAAUCCCAGGCAACAUGCUGGAGGCAGGAAAGAAGGCCAGCCGGCAAGUCAGAACCAAACACCCUGGACGGCACCUUUCCUUACAAAUGCGGUUCACAGGACCCUUGGGGAUCCUCUGCGCACACUGAGGCAAGCAGCAAUGGAAGAAAUUAUCUUCCACUCCCUUCUUGUUGAAAAUGUCUGUUUUCCAGAAAUGAAUUACAGUAAUAGAUUAUGAAAAUUGUUUCCAUUGCCUACAUAACACAGCAGGGAAUUCUAAAAUUUCAAAACAUGUAAUAUACUCAACCUGUGCUUGAGACUGUAGGGUAUUA